rnacentral:tRNA from 1 species
UCCCUGGUAGUCCAAUGGUUAAGACUCCGCAUUCCUAAUGCAGAGGGUCCAGGUUCAUUUCCUGAUCAGGGAA